rnacentral:rRNA from 1 species
UCCUACGGGGGGCAGCAGUGGGGAAUAUUGGACAAUGGGGGCAACCCUGAUCCAGCCAUGCCGCGUGAGUGAUGAAGGCCCUAGGGUUGUAAAGCUCUUUCGACGGGGACGAUAAUGACGGUACCCGUAGAAGAAGCCCCGGCUAACUUCGUGCCAGCAGCCGCGGUAAUACGAAGGGGGCUAGCGUUGCUCGGAAUCACUGGGCGUAAAGCGCACGUAGGCGGAUCUUUAAGUCAGGGGUGAAAUCCCAAGGCUCAACCUUGGAACUGCCUUUGAUACUGGGGAUCUCGAGUCCGGAAGAGGUGAGUGGAACUGCGAGUGUAGAGGUGAAAUUCGUAGAUAUUCGCAAGAACACCAGUGGCGAAGGCGGCUCACUGGUCCGGUACUGACGCUGAGGUGCGAAAGCGUGGGGAGCAAACAGGAUUAGAUACCCGGGUAGUCAC